UCAACACAGACAAUAAGACACAUUGAAGUUAAGUGACGUUACUUUUAUUUUUAUAUUUGAUACUUAUUGUAAAUUCUAAUUGUAGUUGUCUCCCUAACAAGGACUACGAAUGGAAAGUAGCUCAUAGCUAAAUCUGCUAUAUUUACACUGUGUAAUUUAAUUGUACAAGUGUUCAUUAAUUUGCAUUGUCAAAUAAACAAAUAAAGUAAAGUCAACAGCAAAUUUAAUCAGAGAUGGCUUUUUGUGUCCCUAAAAAAAAGGUGAUGCUUUUUUAAAAGUAUUGAAUUUGUUUUGCAGUACAUCAUGUUUUAGAGAUAUUUUAUUACUUUUUGUUUUUAAGUUUGACCUAUCAAAGCUUGUACAGUACACACUUUACAAUGCAUUUUAAUGUAUAACUAGGAGAAAAAAUGACUGUUGCUGAACCUAAAUCUUAAUUAAUAACUAGCCGAAAGUUGGGCAAGUUAUUUCCUGAAUGUUAUUAGAUUACUGUUAUACCACAAAGCCCCAUGUUUGCCAAAAUACAAGCCCUAGCAGCACAGAACAA